ACCUGAAUUCAGCUGCAUCAAAACCAAUAUGUUCCAGUUACGUUUGCAUCAGACUUUCUCGGCUAGGAGCUGUGGAAUAAAUCAGGAAUGUAACUUAGGAAAGAGUGCAUUUGUGACCACAGAAUGCCUUGAAGAUCAGGAAACAUGAAUUCUUCCUGGCAAAUAUGGAUCUAGAUUAGUGAUGCCAAUCUCCAUUGACUUCAUCUGGAUGCUUAGUGCUCCUGAAACUUGGCCAUUCCUGCCUCCAGGCAGUGUUACUCUGGUGCUGAUUCCACUUCACAGGUCUAAUCAUCGUGUACGGCGAGAAAAUAAUAUUACUUUAUGAUGGUAUGAUAAUGGCUAAUACUGAGAUGUGUUACUCUCUACAGGUAAAACAUCUGCAUUAUCUUGAUGCAGCACAAUUAUUUCCAUGUUGUUAGAUUAUAUCUGAGUAGAUACCUGGACUGGCUUUUGUUAUAGAAAGCACAAAUAAUACCGUUUAUAUUACUUUGUGUGUCUCUUUUCCUGCUUAAAAUAAAUAGUAAAUUACUUUCAAGAGAUCAUGAAAAAUGUUGCCCCUCAAGAAAUAUAUCCCAGAAUAUCUCUGUCUUGUC